AUUACAGAUAAUUCAGUUUCAGUAUCUCAAAUAUGGAAAUCGUUUGUUUUCCAUAUUUGGAACACUGUGUUUUGGAAAGUUUGGGAAUCAAGACUACAAAAGACAUUACCUUUGACUUUGAGAAACCGUAACAGACAUUUUUCACACUUUUUCUGAAGUUUAGAGGCCAAACAAUUUAGCAGAUUAAUCAAUAAUGUGAAAUAAUCAUUCGUUGCAGCUCUGUUAUUAAAACUAUACAAAUGUGUAUGAUGCUGAAAGACAAAAAACAAGGACAUGACAUCAGACAGAGAUAAAGCAGUAGAAAAACAAAAGGAUCAAGACAAAAGACAACAUGGUGGAAAGGGGAUGAAUGUUUCCCAAUACAAAGUCCACGCCCGCAGAUAGAUCACAUGCACGACAUCACAAGAUAUGAUGACAAGGAAGAGGGAAAGGAAAGCAGGAGGAGGAAAAACUGACGCUAGGAAACUGACUUGGGUUCAGUGUCUGCUGCCAGGUGUUGUUCCACAAUACCAGAGCCAUGAUGGGGCUUAUUUGUGCACUGUGGCAAGUUUAAUUUCCACCAGUGGGACCGUAAAGAUGACUCGAAUAAUACUAGCUAAAGCAUGGGACAUAAUCUGCUUAUGUAACGUUACACACUGACAGGAUAAAGAGAUGAAGGAAAAGAUUUACCUGAGGUACACAGCUACAGCCAGCUCCACAUUCUCUUUUUGGUGUGUGUACACACACACACGCAAGCACGCACGCACACACAGACACAGCACUGAAAUAAGCCUGUGCUGGUUUAAUAACAUGUAAGCUUGUAUUAGAAUUACAAUCCCAGAAGGCGAGUGCAGCUGGGGAUAACUUUUUUUAAAUCUGAACAUCUGAAGUGUUUAAUAAAUGGAAUACAAACACACUCAAGAGUGCUUUGUGUGACACUGGGAGCUGUUAGGUGAGGAGCAGCGGUGUGGGGGGAAAUGAAGCAGAAGGCCAAUGCUGCUGGCCUUUCUUGCAGAGACCUUUGGACUCACAUGGAUUGAAGGAAACCUGAAAGUGCUCUGGAGCAGAAUGAUUUGAGAGUCAGAGCUUCAUACUUGGGCUCAGUUCAAAGCUCUCUGUCCAUAGGCUGACUGGUGGCCUCUCUGUGGGGACGCAGGGUUGCAGGGGGAGGCUUGACCGGGUCGCCCCAGAGAGGCCCUGCGGCUCCGCCUCCUCUCCAGGCCGUGCUUUUUGUCCCCGCCCCCGAGGCUGACUCGUCGGCGGUCCCGGCGUCCUGAUGGAGGAGGCUGGCUGUCAUCGUCCCCGUCUUCAUGCCGUAGGGUCGUCUAAAGUGGCAGUCAUAAAGGAUGUUUUAGCACAGGAUUUAAGCAGCACUUACUGGCUGAUACCUGAUCUUUAAUGAAAGGCAAAUAUCAGCUUGCAAUGUUUUCAUGUGAUCCUUUGACUCAGUGUUUUACAAACCUCAUAGAGGUUGAGCUGCUCAACCAAAUCCAGAUCAGUUCCUUUCCGGCCCAGAUGCCUUUGGGACACUGUUUCCAUGCCCUGUUCCUCAAGACCAUCCACCAUGUCGUAAAAUGAGUCCUGAUCAGGCAGUGCAGCCAGCGUCUACAAGAAGAACAGGAGACGGAUGAGAAUAUGAAUUGUAACUGAGGUUUUUAAACCUUUUGGCAGCUUUUUUGGUCGCUGUAUGUCAAAAUAUUGCAAUAUUGUAUAAUCAGAGGGGGCGUUACAACUCUCCGAGUUCACGUUCAGCUCAAAGCGGGAUAUGUUUUUUCAGGAACUUUAAGAACAUUAAAUUAGUGAGCUUUCUAAUUUAACUUUACAUGAAUUAGCUAAAUAAAGAGAAAUAGUAACAGUGCCGACAAGCGACUUUGUCCAGAGGUAAACUUACACAUUAAACUGCAAUCUUAAGUCUACUAGAAUCCACAUUCAAUGUUACACCUUAUAAUGUGACAAGAGCCCAGGAGGCAGCGGUCUUCAGAAAACAUGCACUCCUUAUAUUUAAUCAUUUUAUAUUAGGCAGGAUGGGACAAAUCCCUGAAACACCACCACGUUUGUGCAUGACUGAAUAAUUCAACUACAAAACGUUUUCAUUUAUAGGGAAAGAGUGAAGGAAAAGCAUCUUUUAAAGAACCGGUGGUCAUAUCAGAGUUAUAUAAAGUACUUAAAAGUAUAUAAACAUUCAGUAUAGACACCUUAUUGAUGAGGGUCAUGGCGUAGACCAGCAGCUCUGUGUCCACUCCAUCCUUCUCAUGCAAGAUCUCCAUAGUAUUGGACCACGACUUGCAUCCUGGAAAACAACGCAUUAGAAACAUGAAUCCCUUUGUGUCUAAGCAACCAUCCCUUCCUAUAGGUCCACCUCGUCCAGUAAACAGUAAAUUACAUGAGCUCACAGAACAAUGACAAAGAAUAAGUUCCUCAGCAGAUGGAGUCAUGUUGUUUCAUUUUUACCUCUCUUGGUUUCCACAGAGGUGAUGGCAUCUAUCAGCAGUGGGGCGUUGGACUCCGAGUACUCCACAAACACCAACAACAGCUUCAGAGUUGUUUUCACCACCAGACGGAACUAGAGCGGGGGGGGGGGGACAAAUAGAAUAUAUGCAUUAUGCUGAGCAGCAUGUUGAAAAUAUGAUAUUUGUUCCUAUGUUCAGACCAUCUUUAAAUCCUUCUUAUUUAUGGGCUUCGAGGCCAGAAUUCUAAUGAUAUAUACAGAUAUGUAAACAGUCUUUGUGAAUUUCCUUUUUUCCCAAUAAUGCUUGAUCUAUAUCUGUGAACAAUAUGUUGUUUACAUGUUUGUUAGACCCUAUACAAUGCAGUCCAUGUGUGCUUUAGUUUAGAUGACUCGAUGUAGAUGUGAUCCCCUUCAAGUGUCAUGAUAGGGAGUUUAUUUGUUAUCUACGUGCUACCAUAUCAUUAUAUGGAAAGCUAAUCAAAUUUAAGAGUUGUUAUAAUGAAAAUUAUAAACAAAAACAAAUAUUGAGCUUUAGUGCAAAGUGAAAGUGAAGGAAAACACCAGAAAGGUCAGCACACAGAUUCAAGUCAGUAGUAGAUGUGUUUGUGUACGUUUUUCUGGGUAUAAAUGACAAGAAUAAUGCUUGCAAAACAAUGAAUGGGCGUCUCAGAGUGUGUGGUUGUUUUGGGGGGAUUUUGUGUGUGUAUGCUCAGCUGUACCUUUGAGCCAACAAGAGUGUACAGCCACUGGAUUGUCUCAGCAUGCCCGAUGACACCGUUCAUCCCGUCCACAUACAGCAUGAUCUGUCCCAGAGCUGGGGAGAAGGGGAAAGAGAAACCAAACAAAAAGUUAGAGGCUUGUGAUAAAAAUAGAAUGAUGAAGCAACACUGUAAACAUACCAAGCACACUAUGUGAAAACU